rnacentral:rRNA from 1 species
GAUGAACGCUGGCGGCGUGCUUAACACAUGCAAGUCGAGCGAAGCACUGAUCCGGAAGUUUUCGGAUGGAAGGAUCUUUGACUGAGCGGCGGACGGGUGAGUAACGCGUGGGGAACCUGCCCCAUACCGGGGGAUAACAGAUGGAAACGUCUGCUAAUACCGCAUAAGCGCACGAGAAGGCAUCUUCUUGUGUGAAAAACUCCGGUGGUAUGGGAUGGACCCGCGUCGGAUUAGCCAGUUGGCGGGGUAACGGCCCACCAAAGCGACGAUCCGUAGCCGGCCUGAGAGGGCGACCGGCCACAUUGGGACUGAGACACGGCCCAAACUCC